AAACGGCUAAGUAAGACAGAAUGAGUGUGGCCUACUGAGGAACAGAAUGAAGGCUGGUGUGGGUGGGGCAGCAUAAACUAUAGGGGAGUAAAUAGUAGAAGACCUGGUGGCCACCAGCCAUGAGAAAAGAGGCAGACCUUGAGGAGUGAUAAAAACCAACCAACCAAUAAUUGCAUGAUGAGGAAAAGGAGGCUAAACAGUAUCAGAAUACUGGAGUCGUGAUUUGAAUGGAGGGAGUCUGAAGCAGCAACCCCUGCUUCUGACCUCAGUCUGAAUUGAAAGCAGUUCAUGGGUCACCCUUAACCAUCAUACAAAGUUGCCUCUCUUCACAAAAACUGUCUUAUCCAUUCUCAAGAAAUAAGGAAAAGAGAAAGCUUGUGGAAAGGAUCCUUCCUGGCUGGCAGACAGAUCUGAGUUAAUGUCACAGCUGUCUGUUUCACGUGUUAAAGAAUCUCUUGCACCAUUUUCCCCGAGAUGCUUGCGCGCUCCCAAGGCGGUGCACACCCCUGCUGGGCAAACACCGCGAUCGCCAGAAGCGACCAGGGCUGAGGCGCACGGAAGGGCUCCGGGAGAGGCCCCGUAGGAGCGCGGGCACAGAGUGGGUACCUGGGCUGCUGCCUGCUCCAGUCGGCUGGUUCUCCCACCACUCGUCUCCGAGAUCGUCUGCCAUUUCAGCUCAGGUCUCGACGUGGGCAGAACAUCACGGGUAGGCGACCAGCUGCGGAGAAUCACGUUGUCUCAAAGCCAGGCGGCCGGCGUAGCUACACGCGGAGCUCCCGCUAGACACUGUCGCCUCCGCCCCGCGGCGAUGACGUCACACCUCUGCCCCGCCUCUCCGGCAGCCGCUCCCAGACUCGUCGCAGUUUCCACACAGGCGCCGACAGGCAGAAGCAGUUUGGAAACGCAACAUAAAUCCCCCCAAAGCUUAAAGACAAAAAGGAACAUAAGACGAAAGGGAUUGUCAUCGUUUUUGAUAAUGCAUUUUAAAAAAUUUUGUUUACGUGUUACGUUUCCCGAUAAGAUUGUGUCGAAAGUGUGAGACACCAUGUGAAGACGAUUUUUCUCCGCUCAGUUUCAAAGAACUUGCGCAGCGGGAGAAGACCCAAACAUGUGCGUGUGUUUUCGCUUGUGCGUCAGUGUUUCAGAGUUUAUGUGUUUGUACAGUUUGCUCUUAGAAAACAUGCGCAAGGAUCCAUGACCAUGAAUGUCGGGCCUUUGUGGUAAAUGUAGUUCUGCUAUUUAUGCAAUAUGAGUAAAGAAAAUGUAAUUGGCCUGGAAAGGCUCGCCCACAGAAAGACGCAAGUGGCUCGAAGACCCGCAAGUUGUUUUCCUCAUACUCCCUCGGUUGUGUGUCCCACCCCCUAUUUGGGAAACGAAGUAAUAAGGGAGUCCAUUGCUUCGUAACUAUAGGUAAGAGACCCGCAGUGCCUCUUGUCUCAGUCCCAACGUGAUUUGGCAGGGAGGGACUAGGAAAACCCGCUGGGCGCCAAGUGCUGGGGCUAGCUGUGAAGUAAUUGUGGACGGUAUUUUUCAGGACAUCAAACACAGACGUAAAAAUUAUACAAAAUGUAGUAAAAGCACGCAACGUGCCUGGUACUAUGCAUGGAAUAGUAAGAUGAGUCCAUUCAGAUGUUAGCCUACAGUAGUGGAAAUUCAAUUUGUAGGAAUAAAGGGCUAGACUUCUAAUAGGAUACAUCCUCGGAAAUGACAAGACAGGGAAACUUAAUCUGAUGAGGCUAGGAUUAGCCAUAUGUGGAAAAUUACCCCGUGUGCACCCAACUCAUAGAUGUUUUAUAAAUGCAUUACUGCCUAGACUUUGUCCGCACACUCUAAAUGCCCCAAAAGGGAAGAUAUUAUGUAUAAAUAUGGCAAAUGUAAAAUAAUCUAUAAAGAUCAAAAGUAAUAUGGCUUUUGUGAAGAAAUGUAGAUGACGAGAUUUUCGUGAUUAAUAGAUUUUUGAAAAAGAUAAGAAAUGCCAGUGUGGAAGAGGAGUUGCUAUGGCUAAUAAACAUGAAAAG